AUUCUAGAGCUAAUACAUGCUGCUAAGCCUGACUUUUUGAAGGGCUGUAUUUAUUAGAUAACAGACCAAUAUUCCUCGUGUCUAUUGUGGUGAAUCAUAGUAACUGAUCGGAUCGCAUGGGCUUGCCCGCGACAAACCAUUCAAGUUUCUGCCCCAUCAGCUUUCGAUGGUAGUGUAUUGGACUACCAUGGCUUUUACGGGUAACGGAGGAUUAGGGUUCGAUUCCGGAGAGGGAGCCUGAGAAACGGCUACCACAUCUAAGGAAGGCAGCAGGCGCGUAAAUUACCCAAUCCUGACUCAGGGAGGUAGUG
rnacentral:rRNA from 1 species